UACCUAUGACUUGACUUUUGGCUACUUGG
rnacentral:piRNA from 1 species